GUACUAAUAUGAAUUAAUAAUCUUAGGAUAGAAACCGACCUGGCUCACGCCGGUCUGAACUCAGAUCAUGUAAGAAUUUAAAGGUCGAACAGACCUAAUUACUGGGCUACUGCACCCAAAAUUUUUCUUAAUCCAACAUCGAGGUCGCAAUCUGCUUUGUCGAUAUGAGC